UACCAUCCGGAUAUCCUUCAGUGGAUACCAAAAAUUUAGCAUCCCUCAGUAGAUGCUACCCAAAAGUUGUAUAGAAAAUAAAAAAAAAAAUACAUGUUCCAACCAAAAUAAAACAAAAGAUUGAAAAAGAAAAUUGUUCAAUAAAAUACAAAAUUUGAUUUCCAACAAAUUCAGCUCUUCUUCUUUACGCUGGGAUCUUCAUCAUCCCACCAGCUCACUUUUCUCCGAUCCACCUUCUUG
rnacentral:lncRNA from 1 species